rnacentral:rRNA from 1 species
AGGACGAACGCUGGCGGCGUGCUUAACACAUGCAAGUCGAACGGUAAGGCCCCUUCGGGGGGUACACGAGUGGCGAACGGGUGAGUAACACGUGGGUAAUCUGCCCUGCACUUCGGGAUAAGCCUGGGAAACUGGGUCUAAUACCGGAUAUGAACUCCUGCCGCAUGGUGGGGGUUGGAAAGUUUUUCGGUGCAGGAUGAGCCCGCGGCCUAUCAGCUUGUUGGUGGGGUAAUGGCCUACCAAGGCGACGACGGGUAGCCGGCCUGAGAGGGUGAUCGGCCACACUGGGACUGAGACACGGCCCAGACU